CUGCCCCGAGCCCGCCCUGCUCCGCGCCGCCGACAGAGCCGCUCAGUUCGCAGGAGACGACUUCGCCUACGCCGGGCCCGAGCUGGGCGGCGGCGCCCUGGGGGUGCAGCUCACCUGCGACGUGAAGCCAGGAGAAAAUGAAGUUCCAUCUGAAGACGCCCUAAUACUACAGCUUCACCUUGCAAAAGGUCAUGAGAAAUUUACUGAAAUGCUAAAAAGCCAGCAGCAGAUCAUUGUAGAUUUACAGCAGAAACUUGCUGAACAGCAACAUGUAUUGGUUAGCCAGCAACGGGAGAUUCUUGAACAGCAAAGAAAAAUGUAUGAGCAAAUGGAUCUGAUCAAAGUGCAGUAUGGCAUGCUUUUUGACACAGUGAAACAAAUGUCAUUUCAGAGUUUGCAAGAAGAUAUUCAAAAUUAUUUUGAAAGUCAUCUUCAAGGACUUCAGAACCAGGUCAGGAAUCAUCUCCAGAAGUCAUACUCUGUACAUAAAGUAGAAGUGGAUGCAAAAGUGAUAAAUGUAGGGGAGUCUUUGCUGGACUGUGGUCUUUGUGAAAGUGAUGAAUUUUGCAAUUUCCAAAAGACACCUUCACAAUGUGAAAAAUGCACAUUGUGUCCUGCUGGUUUUUUCCAAAUGGCUGAUUGCUCUGCAAACUCUGAUCGGAUUUGCCAGGACAGAGAUGAAUGCACUGAAUCUCCAAGCAUUUGUGGCGAGAGAAUAAAAUGCCUGAAUACUCCAGGUGGCUUCCGAUGCCUUGGAAUUGCUGAGAAAGAUGCAGCUCUGGGAUUGUGUGGAGAAGAGUAUUUCUUUAAUAAGGAAAUGCAAGAAUGCCAAGCGUGUUUGAAAUGUGAAGAUGGAAUGGUGGCCAUGCCUUGUUCCACUGUUAGUGACACGGUUUGUUCAGCAACCAGUGAAAGCAAGCUAUCAGAAUCUUGGGCUGCAAACAUCAUUUUACCAUCUGUGAAGUCUGGCAUCUCUCAGGUCUACUCUGGCUUGAACUUGAAGAUAAGGGAAAAGCUCCACUGUGACAUCCUGUCCAUUGAAGAUCACAGCCUGAUAUUCAGGCAGCAUGGUCUUUUGUGGACUGACCUAAAUUUUGCAGUAAAACACAACUGCAGGAAUUUUUUGCAACUUUCCUUGAAGCUAAAUGGUAGUGAAGAAGGCUAUGAACUGAGUGGUGUUCGCAUUGAACAGCCAGAAGGAAAAUAUUUCCAGAGCACCAGUUUAAGCAGCGCUGCUGAGGUGGAGCCCAGCCAAACUCUUUCUGUGUUUUUGAGGAGCCCAAACCAAUUCUGCAAUCAGAGUAAAGACUUACAUAUUUAUGAUCUUAAUAGCCCACUAAGUCUGUUCUGGUUGUCUCAUGACACGGGUGCUGUGGCAAUCAGUGCACACAUGUCAACAGCAAUGCAUUACCAAACCAACUAUCGACCUACAUUUAAAAUAGUUUCUGUUUCCGACCCUUACAUGCUAAGUUUAUCUCAUGAUGGCAGAGCUAUAAAAUUCACUGAAACAGGUGUUGUCAAAUUUGUGUUGCACCAAGCAUUGUAUUCUAUGGGUCACACUUGUGUCCGGGAGGGUUUCUCCUUAAUUUCUUAUAUAAAUAGGAAUGGUACCAACAGAGAAUUAAUGAAUGUAUUUAAAUCUGGGGUAAAUUACAGAGAUACAUCAAUAUCUGCUUCUGGAGCCACAAAAGUUGCUGCUGGAGAUCUGAUUAGCUUUGAGAUACUCUCUCCUGCACAAUGUAAUGUUCGGUAUUUCGGAGAUAGUUCUGGGAUUAGUAUGUUUAGCCUUAUCUGGAUACCUUCAGCAGUUUCUAGUGCCAUAUCAGCCACAGUUUCUGUUACAGGACUGCCUACUGGAGCUGUGAGAAACAAAUUACUGGAUUUCACCCAGAUCUCAUCCAAUGAGAAACAGAUACAGCUGGUUUCUUCUGGACAGCUUGCUCAGAAGUACUUCAUUUUUACGGAAAAGGGAGUUGCCAGUCUUGCAUUUAACUUAAAGCUAAUCCAUUCAUGCAGUGUGCUCAAAGUGACUCUCAACCAGUUGACCAUGGAUCACAUGCAACCCACCAUAAUUGCUCAGCAGAUUGGAGGGCAGAUGCCAGAGGGAAGCAUAUGGACCAGUGUGACCCUCCGUGCAUCUUUUGAAGUACAUAAUGGAACGCUGAUAUCAGUUUCUCUUGACUGUGUACGUGGAAGGAUCAAUCAGAUCACUCAUGAACAUGGAACCAGUAUAUCUAUUUUAUGGAUUUCAUCUUAAUUUCUGUACAGUGAAAAUAGCACAGAACUGGGGUUUAAAUUGGAUUUGGAUUCUACUCUGAUUCUUUGUCUGUAUUUGACACCUUACAGUGUGUCAAUGUGAACAUAUUGUCCCACUAAAGUGCUCUCAAAUUUAGGAAUAUUUAAAUAUAAUCUUAAUUAAAUGAUCAGUAUUUAAAGAAAGAGAGCUUUCAGAAUUCCAAGAUAAGAUAGUACUGCUGUUAACAUAAUCAGGCAAGGGAUCUAUGGAUUCAACUCAAAACUAUUUUUUUACAAUGCAGUCUCUUGAAAUUAAUUAUUUCUGGACCACAGAAAAUUGCAGGUGAGAGUAAAAACAUAUCUUUUGGUACUGGAACUGAAAGCAGCGCAGCCAAGUAAUGGAAGUCUGCUUUCACUUUCUUCUGCCAACAAGACUAAAUGCACUCGGAGGCAAAUUUGUUUACAUCUUAUAAAAUGUUGUGCUCAAUCUUUAAGUGCCUUAAGCAUGCCUCAAAGUAGAAAUGGUAAUACGGUAACAUUGAAUUAUACUUGCACAAUAUCGUAAAAAUGGACCUCAGUCAAAAAUAGAACAUUGUUUUUACAAAACAUAAUGACUGUUCUCAUCAUGAACGUUGUAACUAAUGAUCUUUCUAAUUUAAUUUUGAAAUAAUCUGCUUUUAAGUAAUUUGGGAAGACUUGUUCCCAUUUUAAGUUGUGGCGAGUGAAUGGUUGCAUGAUGAGAAGGAAGGAAGUAUUAGAAACAUGUCUUGAAAGUCAAGCUUUAAAAGGAAACAGACUUUUAUUCAGUUUCUUACCAAUUGUGUGUUCUUUUUAUGACCAAAAGGGGACACCUUUCACAAGCAUGCUUAUUUUGCUGAACUGGUGCUUAAUUUUAGAAGUUCUUUUUUAGUUAAAUCACUCAAUUAAUUCUAAAAUGAAAUUAUGUAUUCAAUGACACUGAUUAUUGUCUUCUUCCAACUCUUCUGUCAAACUGCUCUUUCUGAUCUGUGUUUCUCUCCUUUCUUCUCCUGAAGCAUCACUACUGCUUCACUCUGUUCUUAUUUUGUUAGGAACAAACAGCAUGCUCUGUCAUGUAGCUCGACUCCUUCCACCUAUCCUUCACCAGCCCUACUAAAGAACAGGUUUGAACUCAGAGAUACGCAGACUUUGGACAAAUUGUUCUCCUGCACCAAGCAGAAUGCUAGUAUUUCUUGUUUCAGCUCUUAAGUAAGUCUGAGCAACCCAUUGCAAUAUACCUCACUGGAUGCUGUGUUGAGGCCAACACAACCACAGUAAGUUCAGUCCUGGCAUCAUAUCUUCUCUAACAAACUCACCUCUACAAAGAGGUGGUUUUGUGAGGAGAGUGUCAAAGGCCUUCUUUCCCUCAGAAGCAGACAGCUCACUGCUGUAUCAGGAUGUCUGUGCUGCAAGAGAAGCUCUGCAGAGAGCAGACCUGGGUAUUUCUGCAGUGAAACUGCAGGGAAGUCAAUGUUGGAGAAGGCUUGAGAUAGGAUUCUUAUGUUUUCACUUGACGGAAAGUCAAGAAAAUAAUUUUCUCAUGGACAUAACCCCUUAUUUUUCUUGUCUGCUUUACUGUAUGCAGUUGUUUUAGAGGCUGUCAGCCCCAUUAAAAUGAUAGCUUAAGAGUAAUUCUGGAUUUAAACCUGUGUAGCAGAUAAUCAGAAUCUAAUGUAGGAUGUAAUCUAAUACAUCUUCAGCAAAGUGCAGAUGUUACUUGAAUAAAAUAAGCAUUUGCCUUUAUGUAGCAUAUAGCACAUCUAACAGAAUGAUUUGUAUGUGUAUAUUUUACGUGAGUUUGUAAUACCGGUGGAAUUGCUUGAAUAUGGAGAAGACUAAUGCUUAAAUCCUGUACUGUGCACACAGUGAUGGCACUUCCAUUUAAAUGUGCCAUUAUUAAAGGAUGCAGAAGCUACCAGGGAGCUACAAGUGAGCAUUAUUACAGCUAAGGGAGAUUUCAGAGUGUGAAAUUGUAAAUACAGUAUAUCUUUUCUGAAGAUUCUUGGGGGAGUGCCCAUAAUUGCCCUCAAGUUAAGAGUAGAUUUUUAGAUACAUGGGGCAGAAAUGUGGUAUUUUGCGGCCGUCUGGUAAUGGUAAUGAUGGUAAUGUAUUUCACAUGGUUUUGCUAUUGUCAUCUGUGAUAUUCAUAUGAUGAACAGCAACAAAAAUUCUUCUAAAUACAAACUAUUAACUGCAACUUGCAGCAAGCUUAGCCCUACUUCAGUCAAGAAAUUUGAGCCUGUUUUCAUCACUAUCUUUAAAAAAAAUACAGCCUAAAUUAAGAGUUCAGCCCACUUAGUUACAGGAAUGUGAAUUUGGAGUAAGUGUGUUGGAGUCAGCUUGGAUUUAUGGUAGUAUAACUAACAGUGUAGCAUAUAGCCUUUGCCUCUAUGAAAAUGAUAUAUAUUACCUCAUUCCGUGCAACAUUAAGUGGUGCACUGCAGUCCUACAUAAGAUAAAGUUCAAAAGCAAUCAAACAAUGUACGAUGAAUACUAAUUUUAUGGCACUUAUCCCAUUUGCUGUAAUUAAUUGCAUGCUUUAUUCUUGACAGAUAUACCCUAUCAAUUAUAUUUACAACUUAGGAACUUUUUAUUUCAAGUUUUUAUAUGGUUUCUUUCUUUUAGUAGCAUAAUAUAAUGCUGUGAAGUACAGAAUUCAUUAAAAUGUUUUUUUCUUUUCCAUCUUUUGAUACCACGUUCAUGAAUACUCUUAAAAACUUGGGAGACUGUCUCCAAACCUUGUUUCUAAUGGGGACACUCAAAGUCUUGUAGAGUAAGUGCAAGUACAGAGGCUAGUGAAGUCUGUACAGAAAGAGUGAAAGUUAAUACAUCUAUGUAGAUCACUCCAAAAGUAAUGCCUCCUAUUUAUUUCCAUGGAAACUACAACUGAUACAAAGAGCACAGUAAUACUGUUUGAUAGAACAAAUUCUAAGCUACAAAACAGGUAUCUUUCAACACUGUCACCACUAUUAGCCACAUGUUUUGCCAGUGAUGAACAAGAGCCUGCACGCUGUGCUUGUCAAAAUCUGCACCAGUGGAGGUGACCCACUGUCACCACUGCUGAAACACACCACCCACCCCAUCACCAUGCCCACAUCCACUGCUAGGGCUCCGUAAAUGUUCAGCAAGUCAAUGAAUUUCAGUAGGUGCAGUUUGUUCCACAUGGAUGUGUACAACGACACACCUUUGUUUGAUCUGCACUUCCAUGUCAGAUACCAUUCUGUCAGACUGCCCCUCUGCUGCUGUCUGUCAUGGCAAAAAAUAAUGGGAUGUUGGUGGGAAGGUUCAACCUCUACUGCCAUACCACCAACAUCCACCUCUGAGAGCAUGGGUCAAGAUAAUAAGAUAGGAAGCAUUACUUUCAAAGCAGCCUUCACAGAAAGGUGAAUGUUUUACUUAUGCAGACAAUGGGAAAUGUUGUGGAAAAUGUGACUAUUACAGGAGGAGAAUAAUUUAGGUUGUGUAGUGCUGCUCACAUAAGAGGAAAAAGGAUCUGCCUUACAAAAACCAGCAUCACUUAAUAUCAACCAUUUUGCAAUUUGAGAGAGUUUGCCUGGAUAUAUUUUAUUACCUGUACACUUCUGUGCUUUCUGAAGUCAAAACUGGGUAGAAUGCAUCAACUAUUUUAAUAUUUUGGAUCAUUCCCUUUGUUCUGUGGUCUGUGCAGAUGGCAGUACACUGUGAAAAUGACACUAGUUUCAAGUGGUGCUUUUUAAUAAAAUUUCCUACUUUGAAAUAGUACCUUGUGUUUAAAAAUACCAUUUAGACACUUCUGUUAAUAUUAUAUUGUAAUACGUUUUAAGAGAACUUUGCUGAAAUAAAUACAACAAAAAAGCUCUAUUGAUGCCAUUGAAGAUUUUACCACCGCCUCUUUUGGAGACAGAUUCCCAUGUUACCUGAGUUAAUGACCUGUGCUUGUUGAAGUAAAGUUAAACAAGAAAGCGAAAGUGAGGGGAAAUGGAGAUAGAGGGCAUGAAAAAUGGGAGAAAGAAACAAACUCUGAUGUUUAUUUGACUGAAUGCAGAAGACUUCAAACCAGAUUUCUUUAGAACAGUCUGAAAGAAAUGCUUGCUUUCUCAACCAGUUGUAGUUGAAAAUGUGUUCAGCUGAAAACUGAUUCAAUCACAUGUGGCUUCAUUUCUGUCUCUUUGACAAAGGACUUACCACCUACAAACUUCUGUAAACCUCAGUAACAUUAGAGUAUGCUGAAUACACUCGUGUGUUCUGCUGAGCUAGCACAUUAAGUAGUAUGAUUGGGUAAUAACACAACUUGUAUUAUGAAGCCUCUGGAAAUACUUAUGGGCUUUGGCAUGAAAGCUCAUCAUUACCUUCUAAGUAUGUUUGUAACGGGAAGUACUUCUCAUUAGAUAAAUGAGCCUUUCUUGAGCUUCACAUUAUUAUCCCUCAACUGCUAAUGGUACCUAAUGUUGCUCAUUUAAGUCUCCUUUAAGUAUUUGUCUGUUAUACUGCAGCCAGUAACACAGACGUACUAAGUAGCUUCAGGACCUCUGUACAUGUGGGAUGUCAACAGAACAUUUUACUGAGUUUUCAUUGUUUUAUAUCAGAGAUUGAAUUGGUUCAGGAGUCCAUGUGAUAGAUGUGGGCCUUCAAUGCAAAUGUGACCUGGUGAGUGAUUUAGACUGGCUUUCACAUCUGAGUUGCAUGACUGCAGCCUUCUCUUGCUGAGAAUAAAAGAAUUCUGAGACCAUCCAUAGAUUAAAUACAGGUGUCUUCAGUAAAGAGCUGGAGAUGCUUUGCAUCAAACUGAAAUAAAAGCCGCUCACUCUACUCAGAAGGUCAGAAAAGUAAGAAGAUUUAGUGUAUAUUGUGAAAUACUGUUUGUUGAAGGAGAAGUACAUUUGUUGGUUUUAUUAGUGGAGGAGAAUAAAAGCG
ensembl:lncRNA